rnacentral:misc_RNA from 1 species
UUUCCGUAGGUGAACCUGCGGAAGGAUCAUUAUUGGAUUCCGAAACUUCAGGCUGCUGCUGGCUCUCCUCGGAGGGCAUGUGCACGCUUGUUGUCCAUUAUUUCUCCCACUGUGCACAAAUUGUAGACCUUUCAGUAGGCCUAUGUUGUUUUUCACAAUCUCUGAAUGUAAUAGAAUGGUUUUGAAUCUUGGGAAAUACAAUACAACUUUCAGCAACGGAUCUCUUGGCUCUC